UGCUGCAGUGUUUGCAUAGAGAGUGUGUUUUACAUGAGCGACACACACUUCAGUGCUCUGUGUGUGUUUAUAACUCUGACAAACAUCAAACAUGAUCAACAACUGUUUCUCACUAGAACUGAACCUACAACCAACAGAAAUGACUUUCAUCACCAUAUUGAUCUGGACUCUGACUGUAUUAUGUAGAGAAUCUAUUGGGCAGGUGACAGUGACUCAAACUCCCUCAGUGCUGCUCGCUCAAACUGGACAAUCAGUCACUGUGACCUGUACAUUUAACAGAAAUCCAGCCUGCUGUUAUAGUGGUGGAAAACAUGAUUCCGCCCCUGCCAGUCCGCCCCUGGUUAGAUGGUUCUUAAAGAAACCCGGAGAAGCUCCUAAAAACCUGAUUUGUGGAACAAGCAGCCUCCAGUCAGGAACUCCAUCUAGAUUCAGUGGCAGUGGAUCUAACAGUGAUUUCACUCUGACCAUCAGUGGAGUCCAGGCUGAAGAUGCUGGACAUUAUUACUGUAUGAGUUACCAUAACAAUAACCCUGCAUUCACACAGUGA